AGAUCUGGCUCAGGAUGAACGCUAGCUACAGGCUUAACACAUGCAAGUCGAGGGGCAGCAUGGUCUUAGCCUGCUAAGGCCGAUGGCGACCGGNGCACGGGUGAGUAACGCGUAUCCAACCUGCCUUACACUCUUGGACAGCCUUCUGAAAGGGAGAUUAAUACAAGAUGUUAUCAUGAGUAAGCAUUUUCGCAUGAUUAAAGGUUUACCGGUGUAAGAUGGGGAUGCGUUCCA
rnacentral:rRNA from 1 species